rnacentral:rRNA from 1 species
AACGCGAAGAACCUUACCCAGGUUUGACAUCCUGUGAAUUUCUCCGAAAGGAGAGAGUGCUUUAUUGAACGCAGUGACAGGUGGUGCAUGGCCGUCGUCAGCUCGUGUCGUGAGAUGUUUGGUUAAGUCCAUCAACGAGCGCAACCCUUAUCAUUAGUUGCCAACAUUUAAGGUGGGGACUCUAAUGAGACUGCCUGGGUUAACCAGGAGGAAGGUGAGGAUGACGUCAAGUCCGCAUGGCCUUUAUGUCCAGGGCUACACACGUGCUACAAUGGUCGGUACAGAAGGCAGCGAAACCGCGAGGUGGAGCAAAUCCCCAAAGCCGAUCCCAGUUCAGAUUGUAGUCUGCAACUCGACUACAUGAAGUUGGAAUUGCUAGUAAUGGCGUGUCAGCAACAACGCCGUGAAUACGUUCCCGGGCCUUGUACACACCGAGACGAC